UUUUUUAUUAGAGAUUGCAAUCAUGAUUGGAAUAUAAAUAUAAAUAAUUGACUGAGGAUAGAAAUCAAGGUAGUGGCCUUCAAUUCAGGGUGGGUCAAUGGCCCGAACUAAUUAUCACUACUAAAAAAAUAGUAAAUGAAGACAAUGACCCUUUAAGCCAAUGUUAUCAGGGAUGAUUAACUAAUUUAAUUUGAUCUCAUCAAAAGUCGAUGACUUUCUUUUAAUUGACCCAUUGAUUGAACUGGAACAGUGGGGCUUUUAACUUCGAGUUUUGAGUUGACUCUGCAUUUGAUCAAGUUUACUAGCUGGGGAGGUUACGUUCAUGAAUAAGGCAUCAUCAAACUAUUUCAAAUUCAACUGUAAUAUUUUUCUUGCGUGUUUGUUUCUCAAUACAAUACCCACUUUCAAUGCUCGGGUUUUCCAGGUAGUGAGAGAUCUUCAACAAGUAAUCAUUUUCAAGAAGUUCCAAUCGUCGGUGUCGUUUGAAUUGGUCAUCUAAAGCUGCCC
rnacentral:lncRNA from 1 species